rnacentral:rRNA from 1 species
AGUGAACGCUGGCGGUAGGCCUAACACAUGCAAGUCGAACGGCAGCACAGUAAGAGCUUGCUCUUACGGGUGGCGAGUGGCGGACGGGUGAGGAAUACAUCGGAAUCUACUUUUUCGUGGGGGAUAACGUAGGGAAACUUACGCUAAUACCGCAUACGACCUACGGGUGAAAGCAGGGGAUCUUCGGACCUUGCGCGAUUGAAUGAGCCGAUGUCGGAUUAGCUAGUUGGCGGGGUAAAGGCCCACCAAGGCGACGAUCCGUAGCUAGUCUGAGAGGAUGAUCAGCCACACUGGAACUGAGACACGGUCCAGACUCCUACGGGAGGCAGCAGUGGGGAAUAUUGGACAAUGGGCGCAAGCCUGAUCCAGCCAUACCGCGUGGGUGAAGAAGGCCUUCGGGUUGUAAAGCCCUUUUGUUGGGAAAGAAAAGCAGCAGGUUAAUACCCCGCUGUUCUGACGGUACCCAAGGAAUAAGCACCGGCUAACUUCGUG